rnacentral:rRNA from 1 species
AUUCCAGCUCCAAUAGGAUAUAUCAAAGUUGUUGCAGUUAAAAAGCUCGUAGUUGAAUUUCUGGAAGGUAGAAGUGUUUUUUUUAGAGAAGCAAUUUUUUAUUGAAAACACCGCUUUCCAUUUUGUGGUUUUCUGUUUUGUAUGAGAUAGUUUACUCUAUUUUUAUAUAAAAUACCACUCCGUCACUGAGAGCAAAUUGGAGUGCUCAAAGCAGGCUUUAUUAGCUUUGAACAUUUUAGCUUGGAAUGACAAGAUAUGACUUUUGUUUUAUUUUGUUGGUUAUGAAAUAAAAGUAAUGAUUAACAGGAACAGUUGCGGGGGUACUCGUACUGAAAGGUCAGAGGUGAAAUUCUUGGAUUCUUUCAAGACGAACGACUGCGAAAGCAUUUACCAAGGAUGUUUUCAUUAAUCAAGAACGAAAGCUCGGGGAUCGAAGAUGAUUAGAUACCAUCGUAGUCCGACGCCAUAAACGAUGCCGACUCGGGAUUAUUUUGUUUGUUUAAAAUAAAAAAGAACACAAAGUAGCACCGUAUGAGAAAUCAAAGUCUUUGGGUUCCGGGGGGAGUAUGGUCGCAAGGCUGAAACUUAAAGGAAUUGACGGAAGGGCACACCAGAGGUGGAGCCUGCGGUUUAAUUUGACCCAACACGGGGAAACUUACCAGGUCCAGACAUGAUGAGGAUUGACAGUUUGAAAGCACUUUCUUGAUUUCAUGGGUGGUGGUGCAUGGCCGUUCUUAGUUGGUGGAGUGAUUUGUCUGGUUGAUUCCGAUAACGAACGAGACGGGGUGAAUUUACUAGUUUGUUAUAUAAUUUACGUUAUAUAAGACUUCUUUAUUCGACAACUUGGUUUUACCAAGAGGAAGCGCCCCGCAAUAACAGGUCUGUGAUGCCCUUAGAUGUUCUGGGCUACACGCGCGCUACAAUGACGAAUUCAACGAGUUUAAAAUUCAUUCCUUAUCCGGAAGGAUGUGGGUAAUCUUUUCAAUAUUCGUCGUGAUGGGGCUAGAUUUUUGCAAUUAUUAAUCUUCAACGAGGAAUCUCUAGUAUGUGCAAGUCAUCAGCUUGCGCAGAAUGCGUCCCUGCCCUUUGUACACACCGCCCGUCGCACCUACCGAUUGGACGAUCCGGCAAGAUGUUUGGAGUUGUUCUGAUUGUAGAGUAAUUUAUGAUGAAAAUGGCAAAGCUCUUCAAACCUUAUCGUCUAGAGGAAGGUGAAGUCGUAACAAGGUCUCCGUAGGUACCUGCGGAGG